rnacentral:rRNA from 1 species
AACGAACGCUGGCGGCAUGCCUAACACAUGCAAGUCGAACGAGAUCUUCGGGUCUAGUGGCGCACGGGUGCGUAACGCGUGGGAAUCUGCCCUUUGGUUCGGAAUAACAGUUGGAAACGACUGCUAAUACCGGAUGAUGACGAAAGUCCAAAGAUUUAUCGCCAGAGGAUGAGCCCGCGUAGGAUUAGCUAGUUGGUGCGGUAAAGGCGCACCAAGGCGACGAUCCUUAGCUGGUCUGAGAGGAUGAUCAGCCACACUGGGACUGAGACACGGCCCAGACUCCUACGGGAUGCAGCCGUGGGGUAUAUUGGACAAUGGGCGAAAGCCUGAUCCAGCAAUGCCGCGUGAGUGAUGAAGGCCUUAGGGUUGUAAAGCUCUUUUACCCGGGAUGAUAAUGACAGUACCGGGAGAAUAAGCUCCGGCUAACUCCGUGCCAGCCGCCGCAGUAA